UUCUUUUUUUGGUUCAUAAGUGUGAUGAUUGGGUUUGGUGCCACUGUGGGACUUGUGACUCCAACAAACCUCAUAAUGUUGAUGGCACAUAGCCAUCUGAUG